GACGAACGCUGGCGGCGUGCUUAACACAUGCAAGUCGAACGGAAAGGCCCUGCUUUUGUGGGGUGCUCGAGUGGCGAACGGGUGAGUAACACGUGAGUAACCUGCCCUUGACUUUGGGAUAACUUCAGGAAACUGGGGCUAAUACCGGAUAGGAGCUCCUGCUGCAUGGUGGGGGUUGGAAAGUUUCGGCGGUUGGGGAUGGACUCGCGGCUUAUCAGCUUGUUGGUGGGGUAGUGGCUUACCAAGGCUUUGACGGGUAGCCGGCCUGAGAGGGUGACCGGCCACAUUGGGACUGAGAUACGGCCCAGACUCCUACGGGAGGCAGCAGUGGGGAAUAUUGCACAAUGGGCGGAAGCAUGAUGCAGCAACGCCGCGUGCGGGAUGACGGCCUUCGGGUUGUAAACCGCUUGCGCCUGUGACGAAGCGUGAGUGACGGUAAUGGGUAAAGAAGCACCGGCUAACUACGGG
rnacentral:rRNA from 1 species